CGCAGGGUCCGGUGCGCUCGGUCGAUAACCACCGGUGACUGAAACCCGUCGUUGCUGAAAAGCUUCAGAAUCAAUGCCUCUACGAAUUCUGUUGGUUUGCCCCCUUCUUUCUGCUCAGAAUUGAGCGAUGUCAGUCCUGCGAGAACUAUUCUGCUGCAUCCAUGCCGAAGGAGAAUGUUAUCGAGCUGCACCUCGAUUGAGUGCAUUGAGCCGAUGACUUCAUGUACCGAGGCGCGAGUCCUGGUUAUCAACAGCGGAGGAACCAUCGGGAUGACUCUUCAUGAGAAAAGACCUGCUCCAGCGCCGCAAGCCCUCCAGUAACCUCUGCUCCUCUGAAUCAAACCUCUUCUCCCCACCACUCAGGACCAAGCACCGUACCUGGAGUGACAGAGCUUUCACCGUUGCAGCCCCCUCCCUCUGGAACUUUUAGCAUUUGCUAAAGUGCUGUACUGCAGUACUAUUUUGAAGUACUUCUCCUUCCAUUU